rfam:Micromonospora rhizosphaerae strain DSM 45431 genome assembly, contig: Ga0070624_12
ACACGGGAAAGGAGGUGGUCCAGACUUGUAUAGCAAUCGGACUCGUGAGGUGGCUGUCCGCUAGCCGCUGUCCUCGACAGUAAUCCCCGUCCGCCGCGAGGCGGGCGCAGGCACAAUCGUCGAGACCGUGUGGCAGCGGUGCGGCGAAUCCACGACAGCCACCCGACCCCCGGGGUGCCGGCCCAGUCCAGCCGGCCCCGCGCGCGAGCGCGGCAGCCCCGGGGGUCGCUUCAU